rnacentral:rRNA from 1 species
UACCCUGGUAGUCCACGCCGUAAACGAUGAGUGCUAAGUGUUAGAGGGUUUCCGCCCUUUAGUGCUGCAGCUAACGCAUUAAGCACUCCGCCUGGGGAGUACGGUCGCAAGACUGAAACUCAAAGGAAUUGACGGGGGCCCGCACAAGCGGUGGAGCAUGUGGUUUAAUUCGAAGCAACGCGAAGAACCUUACCAGGUCUUGACAUCCUCUGACAACUCUAGAGAUAGAGCGUUCCCCUUCGGGGGACAGAGUGACAGGUGGUGCAUGGUUGUCGUCAGCUCGUGUCGUGAGAUGUUGGGUUAAGUCCCGCAACGAGCGCAACCCUUGAUCUUAGUUGCCAGCAUUUAGUUGGGCACUCUAAGGUGACUGCCGGUGACAAACCGGAGGAAGGUGGGGAUGACGU